rnacentral:rRNA from 1 species
UACGAAGGGGGCGAGCGUUGUUCGGAUUUACUGGGCGUAAAGCGCGCGCAGGCGGUCCUUUAAGUCUGAUGUGAAAGCCCACGGCUCAACCGUGGAGGGUCAUUGGAAACUGGGGGACUUGAGUACAGAAGAGGAAAGUGGAAUUCCACGUGUAGCGGUGAAAUGCGUAGAGAUGUGGAGGAACACCAGUGGCGAAGGCGACUUUCUGGUCUGUAACUGACGCUGAGGCGCGAAAGCGUGGGGAGCAAACAGG